CCUACGGGAUGCAGCAGUGGGGAAUAUUGGGCAAUGGGCGCAAGCCUGACCCAGCGACGCCGCGUGAGGGAUGAAGGUCUUCGGAUUGUAAACCUCUUUCAGUGGGGAAGAAGCGAAAGUGACGGUACCCAAAGAAGAAGCACCGGGCUAACUAUGUGCCAGCAGCCGCGGUAAUACAUAGGGUGCAAGCGUUGUCCGGAAUUAUUGGGCGUAAAGAGCUCGUAGGUCGUUCACCACGUCGGAUGUGAAAAUCUGAGCUCAC
rnacentral:rRNA from 1 species